GGCGGCUACCAGAUGUGCUCUUUUGCGAAGCUUACAAAAUAUAGAGCAGAGGAACGACAGUGGACAGGGAGGAAAUUGAAGGAAGAAAAAGAGUGGCGACGCAAUAGACGGAGGGGCAGAACUAAAGGGGGCAGCUAAACCACCAACCCGACAGAGGGUGGGGGGGAGACGUGGAAACUGCAGGGGGACGAUUCGGGAGCAGACCCGCGGUGCAGACGUCGUGAGCACACAUACCUGCAUCCGGAGCACCCUAGAAGUGAUGCUUCGCCUUCAUUCGGAAAAAGCGACUGCCGCCUUUGUUCAGCACGAUCCUUUCUAAGGAGAACCGGGUGGUGGAACAGAUCUAAAGAUCAACACAAUCAUCUGUUUAACCCCCAAAAGGCAUGAAGGAUGGGGACUACAGAAGCUACACUUCGCAUGGAAAAUAUGGAGGUUAAGGAUGAGUGGCAAGAUGACGACUUUCCCAGACCACUUCCAGAAGAGAUGGACAUGGAGUCCAUGGGUGGCCUGGGUGAUGACAGCAGAACCUCUCCCCCAACUUCAUUAAAUGUGGGAGGCGGAGGGGGAGGAGGAGGAACUCACCGGAAACGAAGGACACUUGUGGCCCCAGAAAUGAAUCUAUCUCUGGAUCAAAGUGAAGGAUCACUUCUUUCAGAUGAUUUCCUGGACACACCUGAUGACCUGGAUAUCAACGUUGAUGAUAUUGAGACACCUGAUGAAACAGAUUCCCUGGAGUUCAUAAGUAAUGGCAAUGAACUAGAGUGGGAAGAUGACACACCUGUUGCUGCUGCCAAGGGGCCUCCUAAAGAUGGAGCAGAGUGCAGGACCGAUGAUGAUGAGGGACAAUCUUCCAAUGGGCGGCUGUGGAGGACAGUGAUAAUCGGAGAACAGGAACACCGUAUUGACAUGCAAGUCAUUCGGCCAUACCUACGGGUCGUCACCCAUGGAGGUUAUUAUGGUGAAGGUCUGAAUGCUAUCAUCGUGUUUGCCGCCUGUUAUCUCCCUGACAGCAGCUGCCCUGACUAUCACUACAUCAUGGAGAACCUCUUCCUUUAUGUGAUCAGCAGCCUGGAGCUUCUGGUGGCUGAGGACUACAUGAUUAUUUACUUAAAUGGAGCCACGCCACGACGCAGGAUGCCAGGGCUGGGCUGGCUCAAGAAGUGCUAUCAGAUGAUUGACAGGAGGCUGCGGAAAAAUCUGAAGUCUCUCAUAAUUGCUCAUCCUUCCUGGUUUAUUCGCACUGUUUUGGCAAUUUCCAGGCCUUUCAUAAGUGUGAAGUUCAUCAACAAAAUCAGAUACGUGCAUAGCCUGGAGGAGUUGGAGCAGAUCAUCCCUAUGGACCAUGUGCAGAUUCCUGAAUGUGUCCAGCAGUACGAAGAGGAGAGGAUUAAGGCUCGAAAGGAAAGGAUGGAGGAGGAACAGCAACAUCAGCAGCCACAGCAACAACCACAGCAACAAUCUUCUUCCAGAGAAAGGACUGGGUCUGCAGUGGAAGAGGAAGUGUAAAUGCCAGGAGGAAAACAGCUGGACAUUCUUGAGGUCAGACAUGUUCAUGUGCUGCUUCAGUGACAGCAGAGAUAAUCAAGAGAAGGAGGAGUCACUAAUCUGUAUAUAAGCGUGUGUGUGUUUACAGAGCUGCAGGACUCAAACACAGAAAAGGCCAAAGGCCCAACUUUCCUUGUGUUUUCUUCUUUGAUGAUACAGUGCACCUUCGUGAUGAAUCCAGCCCCCAUUGUUUGUGUCAUCAGACCUCUCCUUAUGUCAAUGAGUGACCUAGCCUGUGUCCUGCAGCCAUCCUCCUGGGGUCCUAUUUCCUUGAAGAAUCUUUUAAUUUACUAGAUGUUGAUUUUCAUCUGUGCAAUGCACAAGGCCAGUGGCCCGUCAGACUCAAGGGUAGACAUGGCUGGGCCGCAUCCUCUACCCAAGGAAUACAAACAUCUUCUGGAAACACUGGAAAAGCUUUCCCUGGCGUGGAAAUUCCUACACACUGCCACAAAUAUUUGAGAUUGUGUCCCUACCAGAUGCCAUACUUCAAACCCUCCAAUAACAGUAUCUCCAUUUCCUUCUACUAAUCAAUGAAGCUCUGACAUUCAGCCACUUUUUUUUUUUAAUUUUCCAGUGUGAUGUCACAGACAUAUCCCUGUGGUUGUUUGUGGCCUAUUUGCUUCCCUUAAAUUAUGGAUAGUCUUCAUCUAUUCUGGGCAGAAUGUCAGACCCCAUGGUGGCAUGGCUAAUGGUGUCAGGAUGGAACGGGUACCUAAAUCUGACAAUGUUAGGGUAAGAAAAUACUACAAAAUGGCCUGAAUUAGUGGUAGACAAAACUGAGAUGUUGGCCCAAUGGACGCCUACACUAAGGUUUUGAGAGGAACUAUGCAGUAAUGUACAGGGAUUAGUGGGACAAUAAAUUGUGACACUGGAUUUAAUGGAAAUGUACACUCGGAUGUGCUGUGACACAACAUACACUGUUACAGAGAGGUCUUGGGGUGUGAAGGAGUCGAUGUUGUCUGGAUUGUAAUCCAUGGUGUUGACUUUUGGGGUGUAUAGAGGGAGUGUUUUUACAUAUUGGGGCACAUUGAGGAAACAGUGAGCAUGAACAAGAAAGACGUGGGGUAUAUGGGGUGAGCAUUGGGAUGCUGAAAGUGUACAGAGGGUGUGGCUGGGUGUACAAAAGGGUGUAAAGUUUGGUGUCGGGGUGAAAAUAUACAGUCAGGGACUGAGUCAGCACAUCAGGGUGUAGGGCUGUGAGACAUUGUACAGUAAAGAGUGUGCAGUAAGGUGACAGAGUCUGCUUUGGGAAUUAUACAGUUGAGUUACAUGGGCAAGAAGGACGCUUGGAAUUAAUAGGGUAUAGAAGAUGAUGAUGGAGUAUUUACAAAUGUACAGAAAAUAAUGAGGGUUGCUCAGGACAUAUGGUGAGAAGUUGACGUUAGACAGUUGAGAAUUGGGAGAUCCCAGUCAGCCAGAGUUGACGGCAGAAGUGACUGAGAGCAGCACACACAAAAAUGUCAUGAGUCCAUCAAAUGACACACCCCGGCCCUGUCCACCAAACUGUACACAUAUGCAAUUGUAUCUCAGUGCUCGAUGGACAGAUCCUAAAUGACCCUGGAAACAUUUGUUAUGUUGUGGGGAGACAAACACGUGUUUGGCCAAGGAUACUAAGCUUCUUUAUUUAUUUCUCCAUUUUUUUCCUGGCUACAAUGUAAGCUUUUUUUCAUAGACAGGCAUAAAUGUAUAAACACAUGGAUGAUGAAACAAA